UGGGCCCUGGCCAGAGAUCGCCCGCCCCUGGGGCCUGCCCCACGAACCGCUCCUGAACUUGGCCCGGGACCGCUCCUGGGGCUCGGCCCGGGACCGCUCCUGAGCCCGGCUCCUGGGCCCUGGCCAGAGAUCGCCCGCUCCUGGGGCCUGGCCCGGGACCGCUCCUGAGGCCUGCCCCCCGAACCGCUCCUGAGCCCGGCCCGGGACCGCUCCUGGGCCCUGGCGAGAGAUCGCCCGCUCGCCGAGGGCUGCCCCGGAGUCGCCCCCGCACCGCCCGUGGGGCGUUUGGACCUCGUGCGGUCACGGAACCAAAGAGAAGGGUGUGCUUAUUCCAAUACACCCUCAUAUACGAAGCGUUUUAUCAAGUCACAUCUCAUUCAGAAAACGUCCUGAGCUGGCAGGGCCUCACAAGCGCCAUCCAGUCCAACCCCUGGCCCUGCACGGACACCCCGACAAUCGCACCCUGGCAGCGCUGUCCAAACGCUCCUGGAGCUCUGUGGGGCCGUGCCCGUUCCCUGGGGAGCCUGGGCAGUGCCCAGCACCCUCGGGCGAAGAACCUUUCCCUGGUAUCCAACAUAAACCCCUCCAGACACAGCUCCAGCCGUUCCCUGGGUCCUGUCCCUGUCUCCCACAUGGAGCAGAGACCGGAGCUGCCUCUCGGGAGGAGAUGCAGCCCCGGCGAGCUCUGACCUCAGCCUCCUCCGGGCUGAACAGGCCAAGCGCCCUCGGCCACUCCCGGUGUGGCCCCUCCAGACCACAGCCCUUCCCACCCAGAUACAUUCAGGAAUGUUUUUCAGCCCAGCUGUGCUCAGGAGCGCCCAGGAACAGUGCAUUGCUCCGAGAGAAGGGUUUGUGACCCAGCUGGCACUUGUCCACCCUGUCCCUAGGUUACGGGACACGCAUUGCACUUGAAAACAUGCUGAGGAAUAACAUGAGUGUCUGGCAAGAAGCGAAGAUUGCAUUUUCAGGGCUGCUCUUACAUCUGUGCCAUACAUUAUUACUCAUUGCCACUAGAUGUUUUCAGUCCCAAGGCAGUCCUUGAGCUGCGGGACCCCAGAGUGAUUGGCACAGGCAUCAGUUGUGCAAUUCUCUUUCUGAGGGCGCUGAAGUACAAUGAAGCAAAGCAGUGGGUCGGAGUUCUGAGCUGGCUUAAAAGGCACCACUGACAUGGCUAACAGGACAAACUCCUCUGAGUAUUUCUGGUCUUAUGAAUAUUACUGGGAUUACAUAGAUCCAAUUCCAGUAGAUGGAAGCAAGUUGGAGGUUAAUAAAUACUCCAUCGUCAUUGCCUUUUGGGUCGGCCUUGCUGCAUUUGUGACCUUUCUUUUCCUUAUUCUACUGUGUAUGUCCUGCUCUGGAUCAACGCCAGCAAACACAGCUACGAACGGGAGUGCAGAGUCGGACAGGAAUUCAUUAGGCAGUGACUGCACUCGCACUAAUUAAUGGCCAUGAGAGCAUCCAGGAAAGCUGCCGGGACAGAGCACUUGCCACCGGAAUGUGUUGGAAUCACAGUGCGGUCCCAGCUGUUUGAAGUUUGGGAAUGCUGUGGAACAUGUUCAAGGUGUCAGUAAUGUUUUUAAAAAGAAAGCAACCAAGGUGUGGUGGAAGAAAACAAUAAAUAGUAUUGCCUACCUACUGUCACUCU